rnacentral:misc_RNA from 1 species
GAAAUGCGAUACGCAAUGCGAAUUGCAGAACUCCGCGAGUCAUCAGAUCUUUGAACGCAAAUGGCGCCAAUUUAUUGGCAUGUUUGUUUCAGUGUGUUUGGAGAGUAUAAUCAAAUCAUAUUAUAUGAAUGCGAUUGAGAUGAUAUUUAAUAUCUUUUCUCUCGUUAAAUAUGAAGGUGUGAGGAUAAAACUCGCACUGAGAAAACGAAGUAGUCACAUCUAAUGUGAUCUCGUUUAAUCAGUAAGUGUUGUUUUCUCUCUUAAUUGAGACCUCUAUAUGCCUAUAAAACUAAAAAAUCUCCUUUAAAUUGACACCUGAGAUCAAGCAAGGCUACCCGCUGAACUUAA